UUCAUGAAAUCACCAAAACGUUUCGACAGUAAGUGGAAUUUUGCUUGACUCAAACGUUUGAUCAACAUUGAUUAUCAGCUGUAUGGGAAACGUGCAGCUUUUAAACGAAGUGUGAAUUUGGUAACAGGAAUUUCUUUUACGUGCUUUUGGCCAUUUACCAUGUUUACAUGUUAUGUUAUAUCUAGCACUGGAUAACACAUGCUAGUUGGAUAAAAAUAAUAUUGGAGAAGAUCCCAUCAGCUAUUCUCAAGAAAAUGCUGUUUUAAUUUUUCUUUUGUCUAUUUUUGUAAAUUUAAAUAAAAAUUAUGUA